CACUUGUCGCACUCACUGACGCAUGUCGGCUGCGCGCCUAUAAGUAUAGCCUAUAUUUCAAAAGCGCUGACUCCGGUGUAUUCCGGGGUGGAGGGAUCACCUCUCAUCCUCAAUGUCACUCACUCUCCCGGAGAGAUGGGCCGGCGCUUACAUGAACACUAAGAUCCCUGUAACUGUCACAGAGCUGACCGUUGCUGAGGACAGAGUAGUGUCCAUCCACUCCUAUUCUUCCAGGAGAGGUCAACCUCCCCGUUCCAUCUUCCCUUCACAUUGACAGGUUCAACACCAGGCAGACACAAAGGACUGCAUCUCUCUCUGUCCCCUGGCCAAGCCACUGGGAAGAAUAGAGAGGAUGACAUGUCACAGACUGACACAAACAGAGAAGCUGCUACAGGGAAGGCUGGUCAUCCUUUGAAGAUGCAUGGACAGUGUAGAGCUGGGACCAUAAACUCAAAGUGACCGUGACUAUCCAGCAGACCACUUAUCGAG
rnacentral:lncRNA from 1 species